CAAUAAGGCAAGGAGGUGAUUUCAGAAGCUCCUAUUAGUAAUGAACUAUGUCUGUAUAGUUAAAGUAUACCUUCUAUUUUUUAACUUGCGUAUCAAGUUCGGCCUACGUUUAGUACAUGUAAAGUUUUAGUUAAUUCUUAAUUUUAGACAUUUGACAACAACUUCGGGCUUCGAUAAAUACAUACAUACUCUGCCUAUGGUAAUAGUUUAUCUUAUAUGUAUAGAGAUUACUUAGACUACACCCGGACAUUGAAAGCGGAACUGGCAGCCAAAGGCAUCACAGAGGCGAACAAAGAUCAGGAAGAAAAGCUGGUAGAGACUUUUACUGUCGAUGGUUCGAAGUCGCACUGAGUUCUGUAAUGAUAUGAUAUCAAGUUGUCAUACAAAGGAAUAAAAGAGGCGCAUGUUGAGCCAGACGGAAACUUGGAAAUAGACGUUCUCGGUCGAUUGUCCGUAUACUGUCUUAAGUCACCUGUUGUGGAUAUUAUAUCUUCAAAUGAACUCGUGUUAAAAAGGAAAUUUUCGUGUUGUAUAAGAGGUUUACGUAGUUGUUUAAAAAAAUCUAAGGACAUAAUUUGAAAUGUUAUUAACUUUGGUAAGAACUUCUACAUUUUAUGAUCAUUUUAUUUGUAUGUAAAUAAACGUUGAGACGAGUUCUAUUCCAUUGGAAGAGUAAUUGGAAGCCAUAUGUCGGAGUAGUUUGCUACAGAAAACAUAACAAGCAUGAACUAUGCAUACAAUGUAAAUAAUAUCAGCAAGUUUGAUUACAGUUUUUUUGUACAAUAGUUGUAUAAAUAUCAAACUAGUACGUACUGUAAAUGAUUUUUAACCAAUAUGUGUAUUUUUGUAAGUUAGGCUUUAUCCUUGUGCCUCUUAAAACAUAAUUCGUUAUUUUGAUGUCAGCUUAUAUUCCCUUGUAUUUCCAUUGUAUGUUUUGGAUGAAAAUGAUUAAACAUUAUGCUUUUGUUCAUUCCACUUUAUAACUAAUACUAUUUGGCUAUAACUGUGUUUCCAUGAUGCUUAUGUUAUGUUAUAAUACUUUGUCUUUAUCAGGGGAUUUUAUGUAAUCUAUAGUUUCAGAAUGUUAUAAUUGUCCAUGCGGUCUGUGUGCGUGUUGUUUUUAUGUUCGUUUCAAUUGUCACUGAUGCUCACAAUUAAGAUUGAAUAUUAGAGAAUCCGUAUUUCUACCCAUGUAGAAGACGUCAAUCACCACACACAUAUCAAACAUGCUUGCCCUGCUUUGAAGGCUCAGGUUUAAAAACAACAACACAAGCCAAGUUUUACCUAAAGGAUACCGAAGGUAUAUUUUAAGAACAUUGGCGGGUCCAGGCUUUGAUGUAAGAUGAGGGACUUGGGGGCACAACUCAAGAGUAAUAUUCAAUACACGAAUCAACAACCGGCAACAUCAGACCAUCUCCAUACGGGGCUUGAGCCGUGGUAAACUUGUUAGUAGGCGAAAUCCGUAACAACUGAAACACGAAGGGUAGUAUAAUUAAACGUCAUGUUAAUUUGUUCUUCUCAAAAUAAUUCGUUAAGUGUAGUUAUUAGAAACAUAUACAUGAAAGUCUUCCUAGAAAAGAGGUUUCAUACAAGCCUAUGGAUUUCUCCUCAAUUCUAUAUAUUAUAUGUGUAUGUUGUAAAUGUUUAUUUGUUAUAAAAAAUAAAUACUGUUUAAACCAAAGUCUUCCGGAUGGAGGUUUAAUUUA